rnacentral:rRNA from 1 species
GAUUAUGGCUCAGAAUGAACGCUGGCGGCAUGGAUUAGGCAUGCAAGUCGAACGGGUCCCUUCGGGGGACUAGUGGCGCAAGGGUGAGUAACACGUGAGCAACCUGCCCCCGAAUCCGGAAUAAUCCAGGGAAACUUGGUCUAAAACCGGAUGUCGGCGUUUACCCGCAUGGGUUUCCGCUGAAAUAUUCAUAGUUCGGGGAUGGGCUCGCGUCCCAUUAGCUGGUUGGCGGGGUAACGGCCCACCAAGGCUACGACGGGUAGGUGGUCUGAGAGGAUGGUCACCCACACUGGGACUGAGACACUGCCCAGACUCCUACGGGAGGCUGCAGUCGAGAAUCUUCCGCAAUGGGCGCAAGCCUGACGGAGCGAUGCCGCGUGAGGGAAGAAGGCCUUCGGGUUGUAAACCUCUGUCACCCGGGACGAAAUCAAUGACGGUACCGGGAAAGGAAGCCACGGCUAACCACGUGCCAGCAGCCGC